UAAACAGUUUUAUUUUUAAUAAAUCAUCACUUUUACAAGCAGUUUUCUUGAAACAAGUAAGUAAUGGGUGCAUGAACAUUUCUGAGUUUCUGAUUAUGUCUUGGACUUCAUUUACACCAAUCAUUAAGAAAUACAAACAUUAUAGUACUGUGUGGUAAAUUUGUGUCACGUAGGCAGUCCUCAA